rnacentral:lncRNA from 1 species
CAGCGCGCGCCGCCAUCCCCACCACCAGCGAUAACCGCCAGUCUGCGCUCCUCUGCUCAUUCUCGCGCCGGACGUCUGUAUUCGUGAGUACGGGAUAAAGUGUGACAAAACUGUACGAGUCGAAAAUCGUAUCUCGAUCAUAACGGAUUAAUCAAAAAAGUAAGAGAGAAAGAGAGAGAGAGAGAAGAAAUUUCGGAGUACCGAAUGAGACGCGUGUCUCUAUUAAUUUUCUUCUUUCUUAUACGCAUUAGUGGGUAAUACAAUUUAUCUCUACUCUAACGUUAGAGGUUAUUUAAUCUUUGACGUAACGAAGGAGUUUAGAUAAAAGUGUUGUCGUCGUCUCGUUAGUUCAUUUAAACGCGGUGCGUGUACCGGAAAACGGCACGUGUUCUCUCUCGAUAAACUGGAUUUCGUUCCUUCGAGUUAUCUCUCCGUACCGAUGAUCAACGAAUUUGAUUUACAUCAGAAAUUGUAUUCAGGAGUGAGCAACAAAAUUUGAUUUUCCAUCGAAGAAGCGGGCUUUUUAAAAAUUCAUAUUUUUUCCUUAUCCUUUACCUUUUUUUUUUAUUACUAUAUUAUGUGAAUAGUGUACUCGUGAUAUAUUGUGUUGGUGUCAAACUUGUGGGAAUAUCGUAGCAGUGUGUCGAUGGGGUGGUUGUGUGGUAGUGGUAGUGGUGGUUGUGUUGUGUGUGGUGGCGUAGUGUCAGUAAGGUUGUGUGGUAGUAGUGAGUGGUAAAAGUGAAGAAGUUAGUAGCGAUAGUAAUAACUAUGAUAAUAGUGAUUUUAAUCAAGUAUCAAGGAUAACAACAGUAAAAACGAAGUUCAUAUUAUAAUUAGAAUUUUUUUAAUAAGUCCUACGUGAACAUUUUCUCUAUCAUUUUCUUUCGUUAAUAUUUCAAUUAUCUUUCUUGUUUCUCCCGUUUCGCUAUGUAACUAGUGAUUUGCUAUCUUUCCCAACUUCCAUGGCGCCAUCUACCAAACACCGAUAGAAACUCGCCGACUUAAAGAAA